rnacentral:rRNA from 2 species
AAAUUGAAGAGUUUGAUCAUGGCUCAGAUUGAACGCUGGCGGCAGGCCUAACACAUGCAAGUCGAACGGUAACAGGAAGCAGCUUGCUGCUUUGCUGACGAGUGGCGGACGGGUGAGUAAUGUCUGGGAAACUGCCUGAUGGAGGGGGAUAACUACUGGAAACGGUGGCUAAUACCGCAUAACGUCGCAAGACCAAAGAGGGGGACCUUCGGGCCUCUUGCCAUCAGAUGUGCCCAGAUGGGAUUAGCUUGUUGGUGAGGUAACGGCUCACCAAGGCGACGAUCCCUAGCUGGUCUGAGAGGAUGACUAGCCACACUGGAACUGAGACACGGUCCAGACUCCUACGGGAGGCAGCAGUGGGGAAUAUUGCACAAUGGGCGCAAGCCUGAUGCAGCCAUGCCGCGUGUAUGAAGAAGGCCUUCGGGUUGUAAAGUACUUUCAGCGGGGAGGAAGGU